UGGACUAGGAGUAGAGUGGGGAGAUUGGAUAUUUGUAGGUAUUUGAGAGGUGGGAGCAUGAAUUGUAGACAUUUGUGGACUUGGAGUAGAGAGGAAAGGUGGGAAAUUUGUAAAUGUUUGAGAUAUGGGAUGAUGUUUCGGUUGCCUUGUAGGUUGUGGAAGUUGGAUAUUUGAAGGUGUGUUAGAUGUAAGAUGAUGUGUAGGUUUCCUUGUAGAGUGGGGUUGUUGGGUAUUUGUAGGUAUUUGAGAAGUGGGAGCAUGGACAGUAGACAUUUGUGGACUUGAAGUAGAGAGGAAAGGUGGGAAGUUUGUAUGUGUUUGAGAUAUGGGAUGAUGUGUAGGUUGCUUUGUAAAUAGGGAUUGUUGGAUAUUUGAAGGUGUUUUAGAUGUAAGAUGAUGUGUAGGUUUCCUUGUAGAGUGGGGUUGUUGGGUAUUUGUAGGUAUUUGAGAAGUGGGAGCAUGGACAGUAGACAUUUGUGGACUUGAAGUAGAGAGGAAAGGUGGGAAGUUUGUAUGUGUUUGAGAUAUGGGAUGAUGUGUAGGCUGCUUUGUAGAUAGGGAUUGUUGGAUAUUUGAAGGUGUUUUAGAUGUAAGAUGAUGUGUAGGUUUCAUUGUAGAGUGGGGUUGUUGGGUAUUUGUAGGUAUUUGAGAAGUGGGAGCAUGGACAGUAGACAUUUGUGGACUUGAAGUAGAGAGGAAAGGUGGGAAGUUAGUAUGUGUUUGAGAUAUGGGAUGAUGUGUAGGUUGCUUUGUAGAUAGGGAUUGUUGGGUGUCUGCAGGCCUAGGUGCUUGUAAUCUAGAAGAAUGCGACAAAGUAGUUUUAUGCUUACCUCCCUUAUUUCCCUUAACUUUGUUGAUGCUUAUACCAGCACCUCUUCCAC
rnacentral:lncRNA from 1 species